CACAGGACGUGUUAAUAGCGCCCACGUCCCCUCCGCACGCUCGCCCGCACGGGACAUGCCCACAGCACGCACGUCCCCUCCGUACACACGCACUGAUGGCACAUUCGCAUAGCGCGCACAUCCCCUUCUCGCGUACGGUGUGGGAUCAGGACUAGUGCGUGCGUCCUAUCGUGUGCAGGUAGGCCGUUCGAACGUCACUUCACACAAGGACUGGU
rnacentral:lncRNA from 1 species